rnacentral:rRNA from 1 species
CGUAGGGUGCGAGCGUUGUCCGGAAUCAUUGGGCGUAAAGAGCUCGUAGGCGGCUUGUCGCGUCGGAUGUGAAACCCGGGGCUUAACCCCGGGCCUGCAUUCGAUACGGGCAGGCUAGAGUUCGGCAGGGGAGACUGGAAUUCCUGGUGUAGCGGUGAAAUGCGCAGAUAUCAGGAGGAACACCGGUGGCGAAGGCGGGUCUCUGGGCCGAUACUGACGCUGAGGAGCGAAAGCGUGGGGAGCGAACAGGAUU